rnacentral:rRNA from 1 species
CAGCAUUCGCCGCGGUAAUACGUAGGGUGCAAGCGUUAAUCGGAAUUACUGGGCGUAAAGCGUGCGCAGGCGGUUUGUUAAGACAGAUGUGAAAUCCCCGGGCUCAACCUGGGAACUGCAUUUGUGACUGGCAAGCUAGAGUGUGGCAGAGGGGGGUGGAAUUCCGCGUGUAGCAGUGAAAUGCGUAGAUAUGCGGAGGAACACCGAUGGCGAAGGCAGCCCCCUGGGCCAACACUGACGCUCAUGCACGAAAGCGUGGGGAGCAAACAGGAUUAGAUACCCCAGUAGUCCCUGUCUCUUAUAC